GUUUGCAAUUCCACCAACCCUGAGCAUGCCCAGUCUCAUCUGAUCUUGGAGAUAAGCAGGGCCUGGCUUGGUUAGGACUUGGAUAGGAGACCACCUAGAAAUACUGGGUAUUGUAGGAU
ensembl:rRNA 5S_rRNA 5S ribosomal RNA